rnacentral:rRNA from 1 species
UACAGAGGUCUCAAGCGUUGUUCGGAUUCAUUGGGCGUAAAGGGUGCGUAGGUGGCAUGGCAAGUCGGAUGUGAAAUCCCGGGGCUCAACCCCGGAACUGCAUUCGAUACUGCUGCGCUAGAGUACUGGAGAGGAGAUUGGAAUUUACGGUGUAGCAGUGAAAUGCGUAGAUAUCGUAAGGAAGACCAGUGGCGAAGGCGGAUCUCUGGACAGUUACUGACACUGAGGCACGAAGGCCAGGGGAGCAAACGGG